UACGUAGGGUGCGAGCGUUAAUCGGAAUUACUGGGCGUAAAGCGUGCGCAGGCGGUUCGCCAAGUCAGACGUGAAAUCCCUCGGCUUAACCGGGGAACUGCGCCCAAAACUGCCGUGCUCGAGGGAGAUAGAGGUGAGCGGAACUUAGGGUGGAGCGGUGAAAUGCGUUGAUAUCCUAAGGAACACCGGUGGCGAAAGCGGCUCACUGGAUCUCUUCUGACGCUGAGGCACGAAAGCUAGGGUAGCGAACGGG
rnacentral:rRNA from 1 species